GAUGAACGCUGGCGGUGUGCCUAAUACAUGCAAGUCGAACGAAGUCUUCGGACUUAGUGGCGAACGGGUGAGUAACACGUUGGUACCUACCCUCUAGUGGGGAAUAACUGCCCGAAAGGGUGGCUAAUACCGCAUAAUACCGCAAGGUUAAAGCAGUAAUGCGCUAGAGGAGGGGCCUGCGUCUGAUUAGCUAGUUGGUGAGGUAAUAGCUCACCAAGGCUACGAUCAGUAGCNGGAUCGAGAGGUUGACCAGCCACACUGGGACUGAGAUACGGCCCAGACUCCUACGGGAGGCAGCAGUAAGGAAUCUUCCACAAUGGACGAAAGUCUGAUGGAGCAACACCGCGUGCAGGAUGACGGUCUUCGGAUUGUAAACUGCUUUUAUAUAGGAAGAUUAUGACGGUACUAUAUGAAUAAGGACCGGCUAACUACGUGCCAGCCGCCGCCGU
rnacentral:rRNA from 1 species